AUGGCUGAGCAAUUUGCAGGCCAAAAAGACCUGAGACUCCCUGGGGUGAAGGGAAAUGCCACAGACAUCCAUGGUCUUGGAUGCUCAACAGAAGUGCUUGCCUUGGUGAUCCAAAAAAGGCAGGAUCCGGCCGGGGGCAAGGUGAUUAUUCUGUCUGAUGAGGAGAAUAAGAGCCAGUUUGUGGUAUUGACAGAAGAAUGAAAGUAAAGGAGGCAAAACCAGUUCAACCAAUCUACAAAGGCCAAAAAUAUUUUCACAGGCCCCCAAAAGAUGAACUCCAAUCUGCUGCCCCUAAACGCAUUCUCCACUGUCUGGAAGAUGUGCAAAGGCAACGGCACAGCGUUCUCCAUCUCAAAUCCUUCAAAGUGCUGUCAGAAUAAAAGAAUCCCCACCAAAAGCCCCAGGGAAAUCUAUCUGUCUGUAUGGUAUGGUAAUGACUGAGGUUAUUCCAGAUAGGAUUCUGGGAGAAACUCAGCUAUUGAAAUCUAAUGAAUGGAACUGAGAAUUUCUUGUUAUAAUACUGUUUGUUUGAUUGAAUAUAUCCUUGCAUAUAGGAAGACAUAAAAAUAAAUAAUAAAAGCAAGAU
rnacentral:lncRNA from 1 species